UACAGAGGGGGCAAGCGUUGUCCGGACUUACUGGGUGUAAAGCGCAUGCAGGUGGCUGUGCAAGUAUGCUGUGAAAGCCCCGUGCUUAACACGGGGAGGCUAGUAUAGACUGCACGGCUCGAGGACUGCAGAGGGUAGGGGAAUUGCUGGUGUAGUGGUGAAAUGCGUAGAGAUCAGCAGGAACACCAAGGCCGAAGGGACCUACCUGGGCAGUAUCUGACACUCAAGUGCGACAGCGUGGGGAGCGAACCGG
rnacentral:rRNA from 1 species